rnacentral:rRNA from 1 species
GCCAUGCAUGUCUAAGUAUAAGCAAUUAUACACGCGAAACUGCGAAUGGCUCAUUAUAUAAGUUAUCGUUUAUUUGAUAGUACCUUACUACUUGGAUAACCGUGGUAAUUCUAGAGCUAAUACAUGCUAAAAAUCCCGACUUCGGAAGGGAUGUAUUUAUUAGAUUAAAAACCAAUGCCCUCCGGGGCUCACUGGUGAUUCAUGAUAACUCCUCGAAUCGCAUGGCCUUGCGCCGGCGAUGGUUCAUUCAAAUUUCUUCCCUAUCAACUUUCGAUGUUUGGGUAUUGGCCAAACAUGGUUGCAACGGGUAACGGAGGGUUAGGGCUCGACCCCGGAGAAGGAGCCUGAGAAACGGCUACUACAUCCAAGGAAGGCAGCAGGCGCGCAAAUUACCCAAUCCCGACUCGGGGAGGUAGUGACAAUAAAUACUGAUACAGGGCUCUUUUGGGUCUUGUAAUUGGAAUGAGUACAAUUUAAAUCCCUUAACGAGGAACAAUUGGAGGGCAAGUCUGGUGCCAGCAGCCGCGGUAAUUCCAGCUCCAAUAGCGUAUAUUAAAGUUGUUGUGGUUAAAAAGCUCGUAGUUGAACCUUGGGCCUGGCUGGCCGGUCCGCCUCACCGCGUGUACUGGUCCGGCCGGGCCUUUCCCUCUGUGGAACCCCAUGCCCUUCACUGGGUGUGGCGGGGAAACAGGACUUUUACUGUGAAAAAAUUAGAGUGCUCCAGGCAGGCCUAUGCUCGAAUACAUUAGCAUGGAAUAAUAGAAUAGGACGUGUGGUUCUAUUUUGUUGGUUUCUAGGACCGCCGUAAUGAUUAAUAGGGACAGUC